UGUCUUUUUGAAAAUAAUAUAAAGUCUAAUCUGCCCACUGAUUUUAUAUUAAAGGGCUGCAGUAUUUUGACUGUACAAAGGUAGCAUAAUCAUUAGUCAUUUAAUUGAUGACUUGUAUGAAAGAUUGGAUGAAAUAUAAACUGUCUCUUAGUUAUUUAUAUAAAAUUUAAUUUUUUAAUUAAAAAGUUAAAAUAAUUUAAAAAGACGAGAAGACCCUAUAGAGUUUUAUAUUUAAAUUAAUUAAGAUUAUUUAAAAUUUAAAAUUAAAAUUAAUUUAUUUAUUAUAUUGGGGUGAUAGAAAAAUAUAUAUAACUUUUUUUUUUAUAUAAAACAUUUAUAAGUGAUUAGAUGAUCCAAUAAUAUUGAUUAUAAGAAAAAGUUACCUUAGGGAUAACAGCGUAAUUUUUUUUUUUAGUUCAUAUAAAAAAAAGAGUUUGCGACCUCGAUGUUGGAUUAAGAUAAAAUUUAAAUGUAGAAG
rnacentral:rRNA from 1 species